rnacentral:rRNA from 1 species
UACGUAGGGGGCAAGCGUUGUCCGGAAUCAUUGGGCGUAAAGAGCGCGUAGGCGGCCCAGUAAGUCCGCUCUGAAAGUCAGGGGCUCAACCCCUGGAUGCGGGUGGAUACUGCUGGGCUAGAGUCCGGUAGGGGCCCACGGAAUUCCUGGUGUAGCGGUGAAAUGCGCAGAUAUCAGGAGGAACACCGAUGGCGAAAGCACUCUGCUGGGCCGACACUGACACUGAGAGACGAAAGCUAGGGGAGCGAAUGGG